rnacentral:snRNA from 2 species
UAUUGAACAACGCAAAAAAUCACAUGCAUGUUCUCGUGAUUCUUUCUGGUGAGAGGUUCGCUUGUACGAGCCCAAGACCACUGGAUACGGAGAUCGAAAUGGAGAAGGAAUCGAACAAUCUUGGGUGCGGUGCUCCUAUGCCUACGGGCAAGUGAGGAGGAGCGCAAUGAUUGAACGUACAU